ensembl:lncRNA
GUAAUUGUAUGUCACAUGUAUGUUUUUCAUUCGAAGGCUGUAAGCUUUCUACAGUAAGGUGAAAGUACGUUCUGCAUUUUAUGGAAACCUCUCUGCUUUAUCUUUUUCAGAGAAAAAAACCAACAGGUUAAGUGGUGCCUGGAAUUAUUCCUGUUGGACUGUAAACUUGUCAGCACAGAAUCUGUACCUGUUUUCCUCCCGAUUCCCUGACGUGUAGCACUGCCAGCCCAGAGCCACACACACAUUGCAGGAGUGAUGUGAAGAGGGGCAGAAGGAUACAAAGCAGAAGGCUCAGAGGUUGGAGCCGAAGGCUGGAGGUGGACAUCCAGGUGAGGAGAGAUCCAGUUUGACUUGAGAGGAGCCCUGUCACCAAGGUGAUCGUGCAGCUGGUUUUCCAAUGUUUCUAAUACUCACUAAAUUUCUAUGAGCUUUCUAUUGAACUCCUAUUUCUUCUGAUACUGGCUCAGCAAUUGGAUCACCCCCGUGGCCGUUUAAGUAAAAGAUAGUUAGCAAGCCUACAUUUUAGAUUAACUGUACAGCAAAACAGUGUUGCAUGUCAUCGCACAAAAACAUUCCUGAGUGCUGGAGGGUUGGUUGGCUGUUCUUGCAGGCUGUUCUCCCUGGCAUUGAAACACCUGUGUGGGUGCAGUCAGACCUGUGGGAGGCUGUGAUAAUGGAUGAUGAAUUAAGUCCGAAGUCUUCUUCCAGAAAUGGGGUUGGCUGGCCGAGCUCCUGGACGUCACAGCUCCCUCUGUACAGCCACAGAGAUAGUUGCCUGUAGCACCUCCAGCCCUACUGUCACAGCUUCAGAUGUCAUUUGUUUCCAAAUAACGAGGCACAUCCCGUUGUGAUGUUCUGAUCCAGCAAACAGCCUCCGCUCUUCUUGUUCACUGGGGAAUGUACAUGCCUUGUGGAAGCUACUGCAGCAACAUUGAAGAGAAGGGAGUUCUCACAAUUGAAGCCAGCAGCCCGAUUUGUCUCUUCUGCUGAAGGAAAGCUAAACAUGCAAAUCGGGCAGGCGGCUGAGGAUCGUAAAAGGACGAGCAGGGUGCAAUAUACACAGGGAGGAAAACAAAGAGAGAUGAGUCCUGACAGCAGAGAAAUUAUACCUGGCUUCAUGUGAGGGCACAGACCUGGCCCUGGCUGCCCCAAGAUCACUGCACACUGCCAGCCAAGCUGUUCUCAUGCUUAAUUUACAGCCUGCAAGGUUCGUGCACCACCUAAUGAAAAAUCGCGAUGGGAACUUUGCAGGAGAAAGUAGGACAGUUGGCACAUUAUUCACAUUUCAGCAGAGGAGGGGAGAGCUCCUUUUGCCACGAGAACUGACCUCAUGGUGGUUUGACCUGCACAGAGGGCUGUCAUCGGGGCUUUAUGAUCAUUCCAAUUUGGAUUGUAACGUUAUGCUGAAAGUAACACUGGACUCUAUUAUCUUGCUUUGCCCUUUCCAUAAUUCAACGCCAUGUUUGCAGCAUAGCAGCAGUUCGAGGAGUUUGAGAAGUUUUGGUGGAGGUAGUCCAGCCUCGAUGCUGAGCAUUGCUCAGCAGCAUCGUUCACUCUGGAUACACCUCACGUGUGGGAAAAACAAUAAGGAUUACCUCAAGAUUACUCAUGUCCUCAAUUAGAAAUUGUUUUUCUCCUGUGACUUGUGUUGUUGAUAGCUGAAAUGGCUGUUCACACUACAAGUGGCCUUUUAUUCACCUGCCUUCAAGCUGUGGCUGAUAUUACCAAACUGAUAUCUUUAUUCUCACUGAUUUCAGGUGAAGCUUCUUUCUCCCUGUGAGUACCCAUCAGUCACUUCUCCAUUCAAGAGGCAGAACAUUGCUACCCAGACCUGCAUCUAAACAGUACAAUUUUCUUGACAACACCAGUUGUUUCUCGCAGUCCACGUUCAGAAGGUCCCAUGGACAGAAUUACACUUUAUCCACUUGAACUUUCAUAGUUUCCAGAAGUUCAUACGAUCUUUUCCAAACUCCCCAUGUUACACAAUUUCCUUGUUCUUUGGAGCAACCUCUCAGGCAGAAGGGUAUUACUAUAUCUAUAGCUGUAGUCCCAGGUAAUUGAAUUCUCCUCUUCCUCUACAAUUUGGCUCUGAAUCACGUUCUUUUUAAAUAAUAAAGUAAAAUACAAAAUAAACAUGACUACACAUAUCUGUUUUGUUUGACACAGGUCUCAGUAACAGAAAAUGGGAUUUUACUCUGCUAAUAAACUGGUAGAGUUUGCCCUUUCCUAUGAUGCACAUGUGCCUCAUAGGUGAAUUUAUCUCCCUGCAUCUUAGCACUUUAAAGCAGUAAUAAAAGAUGCUGAAGGCUCUGUGCUUAGGAAUAUGUCUAAGUAAGAACAAUUUUCUCACAAACCAAUUUUCG